rnacentral:sRNA from 1 species
UAUCUACUAGCUACAUACACAUUUUUUUGUUUGUUUUU